UCCUGGAAGCGGUGCUGCUGGCGCUGCCGGACAUUUUCCACCACUGAUCCAAACCAAAGCCAGCAUUGUAUAAACCACGUAAAUUUGUAUAUUCUCGCAGGCGAUAUUUAAUGGGAUUCAGAGCGUGAAGACAAUUGUUCGCGAGGAAGGGAUUCUAGGAUUUUACGGACCACUUAUUGAGAACUUCACUUGUGAUAAGAGAUUUUAUACUGCAGUUGAAGUAACGGCUGGUAACAAGUAAGUGUCUUUGCUAUAUACCAGGUCUAGAAAAUAAUUAUGAUUAUGAUUAUUCAGCUCAUUCGCUUUUCAGUGACCGAUUACAUCAAGCAUUAUUACGCUUACUUAUGUUACCUACCAGGUAAGCUUAGAC